rnacentral:tRNA from 1 species
GCCUGACUGGCUCUUCAGUAGAGCAUGUGACUCUUGAUCUUGGGGUUGUGAGUUCAAGUCCCACAUUGGGCG